rnacentral:rRNA from 1 species
GUUAAAUCCCUCCACCCCCACCGCACCGCUUCUACUGGUUUCCAGAACUCUCUCCUGCCGUCCUCCUUAUCUCCAGGCCGGACGAGCCCGCAGCCGCAGCGUCCGACCUAGGGUUCUGCGCCGCCGCCGCCCCGCUGCUCCCGAGGAGAUGCCUCGUUAUGAUGAUCGUUAUGGAAAUGCACGCUUGUAUGUUGGUAGAUUGUCCUCCCGUACUCGUUCGCGUGACCUAGAAUAUCUUUUCAGCAAAUAUGGAAGGUUUUUCCGUUUUUAACACAAUCCGGAAGGUAUGUGGUGGAAGGGUGCCCUUGGUGGAAUUGGUGGCCAUUGUUCCAAAGUUUGUGGAGGACUUUGGCGAAGGGUGCCCUUGGUGCUUGGUGUAAUGUUAUUGACUGUUUUAGUGGAAGUUACAAGAUGGUGAUGCAUUUGAGUACUUAAGUCCUGACGGCUUACUGUUUGUGGCAACCGUUUGCGCAGAAUACGGGAAGUGGAAUUGAAGCGCGACUAUGCAUUCAUUGAAUACAGUGAUCCUCGUGAUGCUGAUGAGGCCCGAUACAACCUAGAUGGCAGGGAUGUUGAUGGGAGCCGCAUUAUUGUUGAGUUUGCUAAAGGGGUUCCACGUGGUUCUGGUGGUUCACGAGAACGUGAAUAUGUGGGAAGAGGGCCUCCUCCAGGAACAGGCCGUUGUUUCAACUGUGGUAUUGAUGGUCAUUGGGCCAGGGACUGCAAAGCUGGUGACUGGAAGAACAAAUGCUACCGCUGUGGAGAAAGGGGCCAUAUUGAAAGAAAUUGCCAGAAUAGCCCGAGGAGUCUCAGGCGUGAGAGAAGCUAUUCACGGUCCCCAUCUCCACGUCGUGGACGGGCUCGCAGUCGGAGCUACAGCAGAAGCCGUAGUUACAGCCGAUCUAGGUCCAGAUCCUAUUCUGAAUCUCCCAGAGGGCGCCGCACAGAGCGUGAUGAGAGGAGAUCAAGGAGCAUUAGCUACAGCAGGAGCCCCAGGCGAUCACUCUCCCCAGGAGGCAAGGAAAUGGAUCGCAGCCCCACACCUGAUCGCAGUCGGAGCCCCAGGCGAUCCAUCUCACCUGUAGCAAAGGAUAAUGGUGAUAGCCCUCGGGGCAGGGAGACAAGCAGGAGCCCAUCUGAUGGCUACCGUAGCCCUGUGGCCAAUGGGCGCAGCCCAAGAAGCCCUGUUAACAAUGGCAGUCCCAGUCCUACCAGAGACAACAGGGCCAGUCCAAGCCCGAGGGGCAACAACGGUAGCCCUAGUCCUAAGGGCAAUGGCAACGGUGGCAGCCCAAGUCCAAGGGGCAAUGGUGACGACGAUGGACGUCGAGGCUCAGGCUCACCUAGAGGAAGAAGCGUGUCUCCAUGAAACAUGGAACCAUUUUCCAGUUUCUGCUCGCUACAUGUGGUUGUGACAGUACAUUUCAAGUUUAAGACGUUUGUCAGUGAAUUUCCUAUCUGUUUGCUGAACCUGUUAUUUAGUUCCUGGACGCCUCGAAGGUUUGUUACUCUGGUUGUUAUGUUGUGCGUAAUGGAUUGAUAAUACUAGUAUUAAUUAGCAAUAUGAAUAUAUGGUAUCACUCUGA